CCCUCCCUACCUACCUCCCUACCUCCCUCUCUGUUUCACACCCUCCUCUCCUCUCUCUCUCAGACAAUGUUUCUCAGCUCAUCUGCAUAAUCCAGUUUCUGUUUGGGUGUGUCUGCAUGCACGAGAGAGAAAGACAAGAGGAGAGAGGUUUAAACCAUUUUGAUGGUUUGCUUCUACAUACAUUUGUUUCAGGUGUGCAUGCGCGCGCGCGUGUGUGUGUGUGUGUGUGUGUGUGUGUUGUAGCUCUGCAAGAGAGUCACUCAUGCUUGGUGCUCCAUGUCAACUUCCUGUUCAGAAGCAUUUCCCCGCAGAUAAACAUGGGGCACUCACCAUAUCCGGCUGACAACUUCAGAUGCCUUUAUCAGAUGUGUAUCAAAUCUGAAAAUGAUCCAAUUGACAUUGUUCAAAUGAUUUUUUUACUAACAGGACUUUAAGGCAUGGAAACGGACUGAAUGAUGUGGUGACAUCUCAUUCAUCUGUGCAGCACUGCAGCAUGCUCGUUUGAAAACCAUAAAAUGUGACCCUCAUGUGACCCUGUAGGAAAAGGCAAGGGACCUCCAGGGGCGUUGGGAUUUAUUCUCUGGAUUUCUCUGGAGAGUCGAUGAGAUAUUUCAGUCUGGAGCUAUAAACUGGUGUUGCACACAAAAGCAGAGAAGAUGCCGCCGCUGGAUCUCUGAAGAUUCGUCUUGUCGUGUGAUAGUUUGUAAAGAGACAAAAAAAAAAAGACUGUCAGACGACUCGACUGCCAAAGGUUCACUGCCAACAAUCAUAUCUACCAUUGAUCUCACCCACAUGCGACAGACUGAUGCACAACACGGGCCAACCUACUGCAAAUAACGAACUCAACCCACCCUGAGCCGCUGGAGCAGGAAGUAGGACCGAUGACGUUAUUGGUCCGAUCAUAUCGACGUGGACCGACAUGGACUGGCAAAGAACUGAGGCUGUUUCUAGAGCAAAGCGACAAGCUACCCAGUCUGAGCAUGCUGUUCCUAAUAUAACUCAACAGGAAAGACUUUUAAUGCCCUUGGACCCACGAAGCGUGAAAACAUUCAUCAUAGUAUAUGCACCCAGUGAGCAACUCUCAUAGGAGUGAAGAGGUCACUGUCUGACGACACUUCAUUUUCAUGCCUCCACUAGGGUACGGUUGUAACUGCAGGCUUUACAUCUUUGAUAUAUCUUUGAUAUAUCUUUUCAUAUGGCAAGGAUUUCCGUUGAGGGGAUUUCUUCUGAUGUGGUACAAAGGUUCCUAUGGACUCAAGUGAUUAGUGAUUUGAUGAUCAAAGGGGAAAGGUCAGAGGUACCUACGUCUUCACAAUACUGUUUUUUGGCAAUAACUUGAGGAUUGAUACUUA